GAGGGCAUAGCUCAGUGGUAGAGUGCAUGCCUAGCAUGUACAAGGUCCUGGCUUCGAUCCCCUGUACCUCCA
rnacentral:tRNA from 1 species